AUGAACGCACGCAGGUACACCUACCUGAACCAACAGGUACAUCAGCUCAGGACAUGGACACGGGUGACGUCACGCGCAAACAGCAAGUCCAGCCACCUUUCAUGGACGGAGGACCCCUCUCGCGUCACGCUGGAUGUGCUUGCCGCCGUUUUCAAACUGGCACAGCGCUUAAUCGUACAUUUGCUAAUUCAGGCAUCCAGAAGCGGAAAAAAGCAAGAAAAGGAGGAAAAGAGGAAACAUGCCAGCGGUGAAUGAUGGAGAUAAGAUUGACUAAAGGAUAAUUAUGACAAACAGAUGUUUUCGUUGUUAAUUCCAGCUUAUUUUCGUUUAAUUAUUAAAGCUAAAUUUCACAUACCGCUAAAAUAUCUUAAGUCUGACGGACAUAAUGACUGCUUACAAACAUUGGACAGACCGAAGAUUACUGCUUCAUCAGAGAGAAUCGCAGUAGCAGAAUACAGGUCUAACUAUUAAUGUUUUCAAUAACAACAACAACAACAACAACAACAACAAUAAUAAUAAUAUAGGUCAAGCUACAGCUGAUCAGCCUUCUAGCUAGUUUAAAAUGUUUUUGUUUUACUUGCCCGACUGGACAAAUAGCCUGGUAAAAACAUAAGUGACCAAAAAAACAAAAAGCCUACAAAUAAAUAAACAACAAGCAAAGCAUCGAAACGCGACGAUACUUCUUAUUUUAUUAGUCUACAUUCAGAAUGCUUGAAUCUGAUUGGCUGAUGAACGUUCUGAGGCGUGCAAUUAUUUUCUUGGAAACGCACGGCGAACGUAGUUCCAGGCAGCUCUCUUGACCGCAUUACAGUUCCAUAUCACUUCGCAUAUAGUAAAGCUAUAAUAACGGUCACGCAGUUUGCACAAAAAGGUUUUGUCAGCGCUGCCCUGACGAUUUUAUCAGUUAGCCUAUACAGUGUAGCAACUUAAAGGCCACACAUGACAUUUAUCACUUAUAGAGACGCUGCAGCAGAAGAGUGUUUAGAGGCGCACAGAGGUACGUUAGCCUAAUUCACACAAUCUCUUUCUCUCUGUCUCUCUCUCGCUCUCUUUCUGAUAACUUCAUUAAUAACUGCAUUAGAAUGCUAUCAACGUCUCAAGCCUCCGUUACCAGUUUAAAACGACGUUUUGGUACUAGCAAAAGAGGCAUUGGAUGAGAUGCGGAAGAAAUAGUCCUACUCACAAUAGCGAUUUAAGUACAAAAACCGGACGAAUCCCUUUAAAUAAAUCAUCGGAUCAAUGUCUUGAGGUGUGGUAACCGUAGUAUAAGCGGAAUAAUAAUAAUAAUAGACUGCGAAUUUACAGUGCGCACUUUCACUGCAUGAUUCAGUCUAUUAAAAUACAUUCAGAAUGAUCACAAAUUCAAGACAUUGGGGCAGAAAAUGUAUUUAUUUAUACCACUUCAUAUAAUUAAUCAAUUUCACAUAAAGAGUCCGUUUUUUUCCUCCAAAAAUGACCAUGAUUACAAAUGUUGAUUUUUUUUUUUUUUACAACAGUUCAGUACACUAGAAGUUAAUUAAGAGACCCAUAUUGCCUGUGUUUGUACUAUUUCGACAACAUAAAUAAUUCCAAACAAAGCCACACAGCCACUGAUCUAUAAUAGAGAUCAGUGGCCACAGCACUGUUUUGCGUCCCUGAGCAACAUGACGGUGUUUCGUUCCUGAACGAAUCAAACAUUUAAAUGAUUCAGUUCAAGCCCAGUGACUCACUUAUUAACAGUGACUUGCUGCUGCCUACUGGCGGUCUUAAUUUCACAUUUUUAUUAUUUAAAUAAUUUCAAAUAUCAGUAUUCUACGGUGUCCGAGAGAGCUCAACGCGCUGCAAAUAGAAAAGACACCUGCAAAAAAAAAAAAAAAACUUCAUCUAAUUUGACAACACUCACAAGAAAAUGCUCACAACACGAACCAAAUAACGAAAUGCACUGACAAAUAAAGAAAAAAACACCUGACAAAUUAAAGAAAACAACUUCAUCUAAUUUGACAACAAAUGCACUGACAAAUACUCACAGCACAACCAAACAAAGAACGCACUGACAAAUGACAACACUCACAGAAAAUGCUCACAACACGACCAAAUAACGAAAUGCACUGCAAAUAGAAAAAAAACACCUGCAAAUUAAGAAAACAACUUCAUCAAUUUGACAACAAAUGCACUGCAAAUACUCACAGCACAACCAAACAAAGAAACGCACUGCAAAUAAACUUCUUUGUUUGCGUUGUGAGUAUUUGCAGCUCGUUUGUUGUCAAACAGAUGAAGAUGUUUUCUUGAUUUGCUGGUGCUUUUUCUAUUUGCAUGUGUUUUCUUAAGUUGCAGCGCUCCACCGUAUUCAGCGUUUUAUGUUUAAUAUAUCAAAAAAUUAUACAUUUGUAAAAAUAGGCCUUUGUAAAGGUAAAUAAAAAUAUGCAGAUUUGAGUAUGCCAAUGUAAAAGCUGAUAGAACACUGAUGAAAAUAUUGCUUCAGAAUAAAUUGUUACUGUAAAUAUGAAGAUUGUACUGUAUCUUCAAGAUUGUAUUGUACAGUAUUGCAUCUUCUGCCAUUAAGAUGAAGAUUGACAUUUUGUUAAAGAAUAAGCACUUUGUUUAAAAAAACACAAACAAUUUAUGUUCUAUUAUGAGUUUUAACUACUUUUUGUAUGCUGUGUGUGUGUGUGUGUGUGUGUGUGUGUGUGUAUGUAUACAGACACACACACACACACAAAAAUCUUUUUAGAAGGGCUUCAUGUUUUUAAUUUUUGCCUGGGGGCCCCCCACUUCAUCUUUGGUUCACCUCUGCAUACAACUAAAACACUUGAAAAUGUUCAUUGCAUUAUACAUUUUUCUUUUUAAAUGGUGGUUAGCAU
rnacentral:lncRNA from 1 species